GACGAACGCUGGCGGCGUGCUUAACACAUGCAAGUCGAACGGAAAGGCCCUGCUUUUGUGGGGUGCUCGAGUGGCGAACGGGUGAGUAACACGUGAGUAACCUGCCCCUGACUUUGGGAUAACUACAGGAAACUGGGGCUAAUACCGGAGAGGAGCUCCUGCUGCACGGUGGGGGUUGGAAAGUUUCGGCGGUUGGGGAUGGACUCGCGGCUUAUCAGCUUGUUGGUGGGGUAGUGGCUUACCAAGGCUUUGACGGGUAGCCGGCCUGAGAGGGUGACCGGCCACCUUGGUACUGCGGUACGGACCAGUCUCCUACGGUAGGCAGCAGUGGGGAAUAUUGCACAGUGGGCGGACGCCUGAUGCAGCAACGCCGCGUGCGGGAUGACGGCCUUCGGGUUGUAAACCGCUUUCGCCUGUGACGAAGCGUGAGUGACGGUACUGGGUAAAGAAGCACCGGCUAACUACGUG
rnacentral:rRNA from 1 species